rnacentral:rRNA from 1 species
AUGAACGCUGGCGGCGUGCUUAACACAUGCAAGUCGAACGGGAAUUAUUUUAUUGAAACUUCGGUCGAUUUAAUUUAAUUCUAGUGGCGGACGGGUGAGUAACGCGUGGGUAACCUGCCUUAUACAGGGGGAUAACAGUCAGAAAUGGCUGCUAAUACCGCAUAAGCGCACAGAGCUGCAUGGCUCAGUGUGAAAAACUCCGGUGGUAUAAGAUGGACCCGCGUUGGAUUAGCUUGUUGGCAGGGUAACGGCCUACCAAGGCGACGAUCCAUAGCCGGCCUGAGUGGGUGAACGGCCACAUUGGGACUGAGACACGGCCCAGACUCCUACGGGAGGCAGCAGUGGGGAAUAUUGCACAAUGGGGGAAACCCUGAUGCAGCGACGCCGCGUGAAGGAAGAAGUAUCUCGGUAUGUAAACUUCUAUCAGCAGGGAAGAUAGUGACGGUACCUGACUAAGAAGCCCCGGCUAACUACGUG